rnacentral:rRNA from 1 species
UACGUAGGGGGCAAGCGUUGUCCGGAAUUAUUGGGCGUAAAGCGCACGUAGGCGGUUUGUUAAGUCGGAUGUGAAAUCCCUCGGCUCAACUGAGGAACUGCCUUUGAAACUGUCUGGCUUGAGGCCGGGAGAGGGUAGCGGAAUUCCCAGUGUAGCGGUGAAAUGCGUAGAUAUUGGGAGGAACACCAGUGGCGAAGGCGGCUACCUGGACCGGUUCUGACGCUGAGGCGCGAAAGCGUGGGUAGCAAACAGG